GCGAGGCCGGAACGAGACCGCUGACCUCGUAUUCGACCCCAUCUGAUCUUGCUGCGAGUAGCUACGGAUCAGAAGGUUAGGGGUUCGAGUCCCUUCGGGCGCGCCA
rnacentral:tRNA from 1 species